UCCUUCUCUCCCACUUCUCCUCCAAGCCCACCCACCUCUCCUUCCCCAUCUCCUCCUCCUCCACCUUUGUUCAUCCUUGUAGGCAGCCCCUCUUUCUCCUUUCUCUUCUUUCUCCUUAUCCACUUAUCCUUAUUAUCUUCCUCCUUCUCUAAAUCUAUCCAUGAGUGCUCUCCCUCCUUCCCCAUCCUCUUCCUCCUACCUCCUCCUCUUUCUCCUCCUCGAAUCCCGUCUAUAAAGUUUUGGAUGCCGUCCUCCCCUUCCAUGCUGACCUCCGUGAUCCCACCUCCGCCCUCCAUGGCAACUCCCUCUACCUCCAAUUCUUCUUUUCCGAUGAUCCAUUUAAUGUAGGUAAAGGGUAUUUUUGUCUAUUGAAAUAAAAAACAAGCAUCGUUAGUUGGUAAGUAAAUAGUAUGAUUAUAUUAGAAUAUUUCGAAUGACUAGUUUGAUACAUUUUAAAGUCAAAGAGUUAUAUAUAAAAUUAGACUAAAGUUGAGGAGAUGUUCCAAUAAUUUAUUCUAAAGACUAUAUAGCAUGUAC
rnacentral:lncRNA from 1 species